rnacentral:rRNA from 1 species
UCCUUCAGUACAAAAGCUGAAAUAUACACAUAAGACGAAAAGACCCUAUGGAGCUUUAAACCACUAUACUACUAAAACUAACCAAAACCGUGUCCCCUAGUAUAAGCUUUCAGUUGGGGCAACUACGGAGCAAAACAAAAACUCCACGACAAACGCCUAACACGCGCAAACCCCAGGCCGCCAAGCCGAACAUAUCUCGCCCAGAUCCAGUCCGACUGAGCAACGAACCAAGUUACCCUAGGGAUAACAGCGCCAUCUUCCCCCAAGAGCCCAUAUCCACGGGGAGGCUUACGACCUCGAUGUUGGAUCAGGACCCCCCGGCGGUGCAGCCGCUGCCAAAGGUUCGUUUGUUCAACGACUAACGUCCU